ACGAAGGUCCCGAGCGUUGUUCGGAAUCACUGGGCGUAAAGGGAGCGUAGGCGGUUUGGUAAGUCAGAUGUGAAAUCUCAGGGCUCAACCCUGAAACUGCAUCCGAUACUGCUUAACUUGAGUAAUGGAGGGGUAACUGGAAUUCUCGGUGUAGCAGUGAAAUGCGUGGAUAUCGAGAGGAACACUCGUGGCGAAGGCGAGUUACUGGACAUUUACUGACGCUGAGGCUCGAAGGCCAGGGUAGCGAAAGGG
rnacentral:rRNA from 1 species